AUUGAACGCUGGCGGCAGGCCUAACACACGUAAGUCGAACGAGUGGCGGACGGGUGAGCAAUGUCUGUGAAUCUUCCUUAUGGAGGGCGUUUACUACUGGACACGGUAGCUAAUACCGUAUACCAUCAGAUGUGCCCCGAGGGGAUGAGCUUGGUGGUGGGGUAACGGCUCACCAAGGCGACGAUCCCUAGCUGGUCUGAGAGGAUGAACAGCACCACUGUAACAUAGACACGGUGCAGGCGCCGAGAGGAGGCGGCCGUGGGGAAUAUUGCAAAACGGGGCGAAGGCUGAGUCAGACAUGGAGCGUGUAUAGAGAGGGCGUUCAGGGUUUAAAAAACAUUCAGGGGGGAGUCGUUACCCGAAGAAGAAGCGACGGCUACCUACGUGCCAGCAGCCGCGGUAAUAC
rnacentral:rRNA from 1 species